rnacentral:rRNA from 1 species
CCCUUAGAUGUUCUGGGCCGCACGCGCGCUACACUGUUCGACGCAGCGAGUCUUAACCUUGACCGAAAGGUUUGGGUAAUCUUCAGCAAAGUCGAACGUGAUGGGUAUCGAUCAUUGCAAUUAUUGAUCGUGAACGAGGAAUUCCUAGUAAGUGCAAGUCAUCAGCUUGCGCUGAUUACGUCCCUGCCCUUUGUACACACCGCCCGUCGCUACUACCGAUUGAAUGGUUUAGUGAGAUCUCUGGAUUGACGCUGGCUAGGGGGCGACCCUUGGCCAGACUGUUGAGAAACUGCUCAAACUUGAUCAUUUAGAGGAAGUAAAAGUCGUAACA